rnacentral:rRNA from 1 species
GACGUAGGAGGCGAGCGUUGUCCGGAUUUAUUGGGCGUAAAGAGCUCGUAGGCGGCUUGUUGCGUCGACCGUGAAAACCCGGGGCUCAACUUCGGGCUUGCGGUCGAUACGGGCGGGCUAGAGUUCGGUAGGGGAGACUGGAAUUCCUGGUGUAGCGGUGAAAUGCGUAGAGAUCCGGAGGAACCCCAGAGGCGAAGGCGGCAGCCUGGUUGGCUCCUGACGCUCGGACACGACAGCAUGGGGAGCGAACGGG